CUCCCAAACCCCUGUGAACAUACCACUUGUUGCCUCGGCGGAUCAGCCCGCUCCCGGUAAAACGGGACGGCCCGCCAGAGGACCCCUAAACUCUGUUUCUAUAUGUAACUUCUGAGUAAAACCAUAAAUAAAUCAAAACUUUCAACAACGGAUCUCUUGGUUCUGGCAUCGAUGAAGAACGCAGCAAAAUGCGAUAAGUAAUGUGAAUUGCAGAAUUCAGUGAAUCAUCGAAUCUUUGAACGCACAUUGCGCCCGCCAGUAUUCUGGCGGGCAUGCCUGUUCGAGCGUCAUUUCAACCCUCAAGCACAGCUUGGUGUUGGGACUCGCGUUAAUUCGCGUUCCCCAAAUUGAUUGGCGGUCACGUCGAGCUUCCAUAGCGUAGUAGUAAAACCCUCGUUACUGGUAAUCGUCGCGGCCACGCCGUUAAACCCCAACUUCUGAAUGUUGACCUCGGAUCAGGUAGGAAUACCCGCUGAACUUAAGCAUAUCAA
rnacentral:rRNA from 1 species